AAGAUACAAAUUUACUAAUUCUAAAAUUUAGAUAAUUAAAUUAGGAGUAGUGCGAUAUGACUUGAGUGUCACAUCCAUAAACUACUUUUACUUGUUUUUUAUUCGUGGUAACCUAUCAAAUUAUUUUUUAAUAUACAUUUAUGUUUAACAAAGAGUGUUAAAAAAUAAUGAUAACUAGAAAUUUUAAAUUAUUAAAAGAAUCAAUAAAAAAUAGUGAUAAUUAAAAAA
rnacentral:lncRNA from 1 species